rnacentral:snRNA from 1 species
GGUCUAUGGGCCGUGAGGACCAUCUGUCACUCCAUUUGAUUGACAGGGUGAACUUGACUGAUCUUACUUGCUUAGGUGGGUGUUGCCUUCCUCCCUUGUUGCUCCAUGUGUGUUCAUCCUAAAGCUAUGUGCUUGGUUGAAGAAGAUGACCUUCUCUGAAUGGAGGAAGAAUGGUCUCUGGUCAAGAGACCAGAGUUGGAGAGUGGGAGCAAUCCCCUGCUAGAACCCCAAACAAACUCUCAAGAAAGAACUCAUGUCUGGCUUGGGUGGUACCCCUUGGGUCCAGCACAGAAAGCCUAAAGAAUAAGGUCAAUCAAGAUUGAAAAGAGCUACAGCUCU